AGUGGCGGGCAGCAGCUAAGUCCAUGGAGAAGGGGAGAGGCCAAGGGCUCCAGGAGGGAAGGAUUUGGGGAAAGAGAGGCUCUAUUUUGUCUUUGCCAUCUUGUCCUUUCUGCUAUGAGGGCAGGAGGAAAGGAAAAGAGGGGCCGACAGGAGUGUCACAGGGUCCAGGAGCAUGCUGGUGCCUGAGAUUUCUGGGAUAUGUGAGUGAAGAAGACCCCACCUCUGACUUAAUCUCUGCCUGUUGAACUGUACUGCUUCCCACUCUACAGUAAUCCCGUCCUGGACCAUGUGAGCCUCCAACCUCCGCCACCCUGCUGAAGGCCAGAGGAAAGUGGAGAGACACACCAUGAGGAAGGGGAGCCAGAGAAGACAAGAUAUGAGGACUUAAACUAGCCAUAUCUGGCCCUGCCUUUGAGGAGGCCCAGCUAGUCAAGGUCAGAGAAACGUUGGGAACACAGCCCUGCAGCCUAUAGAUGCUCUGAGCUCUUCUGGCACGGUUCCCAGGUGCUGCAGGGGCUGGUUUCCUUAGAUUGGCAGCAGACACCCAGCCCAAGCCCCCGGGACCUGGCAGCGUGAUUGAUGUGCUCUGUGGUCACCUAGGUAACCACAGACCUGCCCUCAUCCUCUGUCCUCUGCCAUUGAUGGCAAGAGGGGGUACAUGAUGUCCAAACACUUUUCCAGGAGCAGGAAAAAGUGGGUAAUCUGGAUAAAGGAGAGGUGGGACAUGGACUGAGCAGACUGGAGGUGAGUGGCUUUCCAAGGCCCUGGGCGGGCCUGUCGGCAGUCACUACAUGUGCGUGUGGCACGAUGCCCAGGGAAGAAAGCUGAAGGAGUUUCCUCCACAGAGUUGCUACUACUGCUUCUGGGCCCCACCCAGAUCUGAACCAAACAGCUCCCGGAGCCAAGGAAAGCUUGCUGGCACUGAUUCCCACGGAGAACAAGAAGAAGUUUCUUGGGCCUAGAUUUUAUCUAUUAUUAGCGUGUGAGUCCACCCACAUGCAAAUAUGCGCACCUGGGAGCACUGUGGUCCGUAUUUGGCAGGCUGAGGACAACUGCUGCGAAGUUCUCAACCCUCAGUACAGAAUUCAGGGACGUGGACCCACGUCGUCAGCCGGCUCCACAGGCUGUUGGACGAUCACGGUUCUCGGCCAUCUCCACACGCUGCCUUGCCAUCAUGGUUCUCGGUCAUCUCCACACGCUAUCUGGCAAUCACGGUUCUCAGCCAUCGGCACAGGCUGUCCGGGAUCACCGUAUUACACGUGAACCGCGUUUUAUCAUCGCUUUAGUUUACAAUUCUCUAGUAAGGAUGGACAUCAUAAACACUUCUCAUGAGCUUAGUAGCCAGCCCAUGCAUCUUCUUUGUGAAAUGCCUAUUGACUUCUCUUUUCCAUUAAAAACAAAAAUCAAGACUA